UUAUGUUGACCGAUUUCUAAAAAAUACCUUAAUAAAUAAGUAUACACGAAAAGUGUGAAAAAAGACAUAAUUAUGUAUGUAGAUUGAUAUGUAUAGAUUUGUUUACUAUAAUAGAUAGGCAUAAUUAGAACAAAUGGUAUUUUAUCUAUAAAGGCAAAAUAUAUAGAUGAUUGCUUAACAUGUGCAUUAAUGAUUUAUUACCUUUAUAAUUUCCUAUGAUUGAGUAUCACAAUCUAUAUAGAUUGAUACUAAAUUGAGAAAAU
rnacentral:lncRNA from 1 species